rnacentral:lncRNA from 1 species
AUCUAAUAUAGGCCUAGAUAUAAAAAUACAGUAACUAAUAACUAUUUAGCACCCUUAAGUUGAGUGUUUUAGUACUUGAUGCUGAAGCGGGAAAGUGAGGGAAAGUAAACGCGUCAUCUGUCCGAUGCUUCAUUUAUAACUUGAAUCCAUCAGAACAGCACAUGGUUGGCUAGCGAUGGAAGAAAGUAAGACUUGUCAUGUAACUCCGCCCACAACUCCAAACAAAGCCACGCCCUCCCCGCCAGUGUCCACUGAACGGCUGAUGGGUUUGAGCAACCCAGAGUUACUAAAUGAACUGAAACAACCACCCACGCUCAAACACGUCCCCGCGCACACGGGACUGAAAACCGUGUUCAGGGGACGAGGACGACAGGUGAGACACAGACUGAACACACACACUGUAGCAAAUCAAACCAUUAAGUAUA